CAGUAGCCGCGGGAAUACGGAGGGGGCUAGCGUUGUUCGGAACUACUGGGCGUAAAGCGCACGUAGGCGGCUUGGUAAGUUAGAGGUGAAAGCCUGGAGCUCAACUCCAGAAUUGCCUUUAAGACUGCCGAGCUAGCAGGUGAGAGAGGUAAGUGGAACUCCGAGUGUAGAGGUGAAAUUCGUAGAUAUUCGGAAGAACACCAGUGGCGAAGGCGGCUUACUGGCUCAUACUGGACGCUGAGGUGCGAAAGCGUGGGGAGCAAACAGGAUUAGAUACCCCGGUAGUCCCUGUCUCUUAUAC
rnacentral:rRNA from 1 species